GGGCAAGUCGGGCACCCACCAGGGGCAGCGUACGGAGCUGAACAGUGCAGCGGCACGGCAGGGCGCUCCCCGGGAGGAGGGCCAGCACUGAGCUCUUCCCGCUGCUGGUCCGUGUCUCCCGGCUCCUGCCACCCGGCGCUGGGCCCUGGGUCGCAGCAGCAUGGGCACAGGAGGCUGCACGCUGGAGGAGGAGGAGGAGGAGGGAGAGGAAGAAGGCAGCAGCUGGAGCCCAGAGAGAGAGGCGGGAGACCGGGCCUGGCUGCGGGCCACGCCUGCCAAAGGCAGCUCUGACCUGGGCAGCUCCCUGGGAGCCAGGGGUGAGGAGGACGGCCAGCUCCAGUGUUCGGUGGCGGCUGGUGACCUUGUCUGAUGGCCGCUGUCGGGUCUUGAAUCGGAGCAGCACACGGUGGGACAUCAGGGCGGCAGGCGGGCAGCAACACCAAGGGAGACGAGGACCUGGCUCCUGCCCCUGUGGGAAGAGGAGACAGCGCUGUCCGAGCACACCUACUGCAGAAACAUCACCCGAGCAAGACCCACAAACCCGCGUUCUGCAGAGAUGAGCACAGACGGGCCAUCUGAGCACUCGGGGAUCCCAGUGACAGGAACCUGACCAUCCCUGGGAAUAUAAAGCAAUGCGGGAAAUCAAUGCUGCGCAUUUUAAAUACUCCUAUCGUGAACCGUGAGUCCUCAGCAGAACUCCCUGAGUGACGGUUCUGGAGGACUUCUUAGGCACAGGGUUGGUUAAGUGGCUGCUGGUGUUGGUCGGGCCGGGGGUAUCCGGAUGGGAUGGGGCUCAGUCUCCGAACGCUAGGGGCUGCAGCCACAAACCCGGGUCUGCUCCCUUGCUUUCUCCCUCCUUGGACGUCUGCGUACCAGGAAUGAGCAGGAACAGGCCUGAGGCCUGGGCCCAACCUCGCCACUGCCACUUAUACUCACUUCUGUGGCAAGCAAGUGCCGUGGCCAAGCCCACCUCAGCAGCACGGGGAAGCACACGGCCCUGUCUUUAUGAGUGGAGUUGAAAAGGCAUGUGGCGCUCGAGAGACUAGGAAGACCUGGAGGUGGUGAGCUCCAUGGCCACGGUGGCACACAACUGGCAGCGACCCCUCUGCCAUGCGCCACACUGCUCCGGCCACUCCAUGUAGACCCAGGGCAGAAGCACAAGGGUCCAUCUGCGUUGUGAAUAGAAUGGCGGAGGCAGCCACGCGUUCCAGGCACCAUCUCCUCAGAAGCAUCUCUGCAUAACUGACUCAACACUGGAGGCCCCGUGAGGCUCACAGCCUGCCCCGCUACCCAGCAUCCCCUGCCCCGCUACCC
rnacentral:lncRNA from 1 species